rnacentral:rRNA from 1 species
UGGCUCAGGACGAACGCUGGCGGCGUGCUUAACACAUGCAAGUCGAACGGAAAGGCCCUUCGGGGUACUCGAGGUGGCGAACGGGUGAGUAACACGUGGGUGAUCUGCCCUGCACUCUGGGAUAAGCCUGGGAAACUGGGUCUAAUACCGGAUAUGAUCAUGCGCCUCAUGGUGUGUGGUGGAAAGCUUUUGCGGUGUGGGAUGGGCCCGCGGCCUAUCAGCUUGUUGGUGGGGUAAUGGCCUACCAAGGCGACGACGGGUAGCCGGCCUGAGAGGGUGACCGGCCACACUGGGACUGAGAUACGGCCCAGACUCCUACGGGAGGCAGCAGUGGGGAAUAUUGCACAAUGGGCGCAAGCCUGAUGCAGCGACGCCGCGUGGGGAUGACGGCCUUCGGGUUGUAAACCUCUUUCAGUACCGACGAAGCGUAAGUGACGGUAGGUACAGAAGAAGCACCGGCCAACUACGUG